CGGUGGAGUGAUUUGUUUGGUUGAUUCCGUCAACGGACGAGAUCCAAGCCGCCUAGUAGAAACCAAAAUCAUUACCAAAGAAAGCAAUCUCUCGCUUGACUUCGGUCGACGGGAGUCACCUUUGGUUGGUUUCUUCUUUGCGGGAUUCCUUGCUUCGCGCAAGGUGAGAUUUUGGGCAACAGCA
rnacentral:rRNA from 1 species